rnacentral:rRNA from 1 species
CCUACGGGUGGCAGCAGUGGGGAAUAUUGGACAAUGGGGGCAACCCUGAUCCAGCCAUGCCGCGUGUGUGAAGAAGGCCCUCGGGUUGUAAAGCACUUUCAGUGAGGAAGAACGCCUGGUGGUUAAUACCCAUCAGGAAAGACAUCACUCACAGAAGAAGAACCGGCUAACUCCGUGCCAGCAGCCGCGGUAAUACGGAGGGUGCGAGCGUUAAUCGGAAUUACUGGGCGUAAAGCGCGCGUAGGUGGCUUGAUAAGCCGGUUGUGAAAGCCCCGGGCUCAACCUGGGAACGGCAUCCGGAACUGUCAAGCUAGAGUGCAGGAGAGGAAGGUAGAAUUCCCGGUGUAGCGGUGAAAUGCGUAGAGAUCGGGAGGAAUACCAGUGGCGAAGGCGGCCUUCUGGACUGACACUGACACUGAGGUGCGAAAGCGUGGGUAGCAAACAGGAUUAGAUACCCUAGUAGUC